rnacentral:snRNA from 1 species
GGCAGCACAUAUACUCUUAAAAAAAACAGUGGAACGACACAGUGAAGAUUAGCAUGGCCCCUGUGCAAGGAUGACAUGCAAAUUUCAAAGCGUUCCAUAUUAAA